UCAGUCAUAAUAUGUCUAAUAAGGGACUGGAGUUUGUUUCUUAGCUUGUUAAUUUCUUUAAUAAUGAUUCUGGGAAAUUGAUUAUUGUUUUCUGGUAUCUUUAUACUUUGUUCGGACAGUAUUGAGGCACAGAAUGCAGUUGCUUAUACAUGUCUUGUUUUUGCAGCGUGGAUGAUUGAUUUCCUAAUGUCACUUUCCAUUUUGAAAACUCAGUUAUCUUGAACGUUUAUCCACACGAGUAUCUGUUCCCCUUUGAAGGUACGUGGUGCAUUGGAUGGCAGAACAGUGGCCUACAAUCGAGGGAUAGUAGGAACAUGACACUUUUGGGAGGUAUAAACAAAAUAUGUACUUUUUCUUUGACUGCUUCAAUCCUUAAAAUAAGAAAUGCUUAAGCCUCACGAGCACCAUACAUAGAUUCUUGACUCUCCUCUAUCAGGAAGAGGGAUGCGGAGGCUUGUCGACCAUGUAAAGUGGAUGUUUGGUAUCACUUUCUUAUGAUUGUAAACUAUCAUGAAAUAGAAAUCAUAUUUGGCAGUGUGAGGGAUCAUUAUUCAGUAGAAAGGGACUGCGACUGUAAUCAUUCACCAGCUAAAACAUUAAUCAUUUCCAAAGUUCUCCUAAUCCUUGCUCUACUUUAUUUUUAUGUCUAAUUUAGUAUUUUUAAAGAAGUUAGUCUUGUAUGAUCUUGAAAAUCAGGCCUUUGGAUGGACUGAGUAUUAUCAAUCAUAGUUGCCUUAGGUGAUAUUUAUAUGAAGUUUUUAGAAUCAUAUUUGACAGCGAGGACAGAUCAAUAUUCAGUGCAAGGGGACAACUGCUGAGAUUAUCCAUCAGUAGAAACUUGAUCAUUUGUAAAAUUCUUCUAAUUCCUUUCUCAUACUUUAAUUUUCUUGUGCAGAUUUAGUACUUUCAAAUAAGCUAGUCUUGUAUGAUCUUGAGAAUCAGAUCAUUGGAUGGACUGAAUAUAACAGUGAGCCUAAAAUUAUUUUCGCUACCCUGGUUUGCUGUUUUACAUUUCUUUCUUAUGCAAGUGGUUGUUGAUAUUAGAAUAUGAUUUGAUAACUUGUGGUGUAUCUUUGUGUUAUUUAGACAUGUCCAUAUUAUCACCAUGAAACACUUACGGUCUCUGCUUUUAUUGUGGGGAUCAAGUUCCAUUUGUACCCACCCUAGAUUUACAAUAAGUUUUCAAGAAAUGCUAAGAUUAGAUUGAUGGGACUGGCAUACUAACUUGACAUGAAGUGAUAUUUAAUUGUAGCAUAAACUGGAAUACAUUACUAUAGAUUUUAAUAGAAAAGGAUCUGAACCUUUAAAACUUCAUAUUGAAAUAACUGCGUUGAAUCAAUCAGUUUGGAUCUAGAAUUUCAACCGAAUGCUAGUUAUUCCUAUAUCCUAGUUUGAUCUCCUUCUCUGGCUCUUUGUUUUGUUAAUUUCCUUAGUUUAGGUAUGCUAAAUUAUAGCUGUAAUGUUGCUGCUUCUAGUUGUUCUAAAUUACAGACGUGUUAAGGCUUUUCAGGCAUCAAAGUGCAGGAUGAACGGACUGGAACUGUACAUUUAGUAGGCUCUCACUCCAUUAGUUCUGCUUGUGGUUUGCCUGUGCGACGGGCUAUAUUGUUUUUGUUGCCAAGUACACUACUGCUCAGUUCAGUUUGCUGAAAUGCUACAACCAAUAAAGAAUAGCAAUGGUCAAAAUUAAGAUAUAGAAAAUCAGAUAUUAAAAAAUAAAUCAUUAGAUUUAUUGAUGAAUGGUGGAAUAUAAUUUGUUUUUUCACUGGACAUUCACUUGGCGUAAUAUUUUAUUCCCAUUGUGAACAGGGGAAACCCACAAAGCUUACAGCUAGUCCCAGGUAGUGUACAGAGAUAUUUUACAUGGCUUAGGUCUUCUAGUAAAUGCAAUUAUAAGAUUAUAUUUAAUUUGAGUUUUGAUAGAACAAGUCCCCUUAUAUUACACAAGUCUGACAAUAUGCAUCUACUGGUUUAAGGUUCAUUUGUCUUUGUCUAGCUUAAAGCACCACCUCUUAAGCCUACACAGAAGCCUGAUUGAAUAUGAUGGGAUUUCGAAGGCACUCAUCCAUUUUGACCUGUGAAAAUUGAGAACAUGUAAAUGCGGGUAACAGAGUGGAGAAAAGGGAUCGAAAAUGAAGCAUAGAAAUCUGCAUGCAUUUAUCCAACAUGGCUUGGAAAAUAGUACUUAAAGAAGGGGUAGAAUCCCAUAAGAAGGAGAAAUAUCGACUACGGAGUUUGAAGAUCCUAAGCAUCAUCACUGUUCGAGGAGGAUGCCACCCUCAUAAAAUGCUCGCCUCACUUAGGAAUAGCAGCAGGAAAGGUGGAUUAGGUUUACCAAGUCAGAGAUCAGCAUAGUUGAUUAAUAAUCUAUGGAAUGUGCUCUGUGUGUGUGUGAUACAACUUGACUCUUCUUCUCGCCUGACUAUGUGUUGUAAUUGUGUGAGCUUGUGCUCAAGUGGCAUGAUUCUUGCAAGAGGGGUCCCUUGGCGUUGCUCUCCUUUCUUGUUUCUUUUAGCCAACAUCGUACUCGGAUAGUACUUAUCUUCACUCCUUUUCCUUCAUUUGACAGUUGAGCAAUGGUGUUUAUAUAUACACGUGGAUCAUUAAAGCAUGCA